AAAUUGAAGAGUUUGAUCAUGGCUCAGAUUGAACGCUGGCGGCAGGCCUAACACAUGCAAGUCGAACGGUAACAGGAAGCAGCUUGCUGCUUCGCUGACGAGUGGCGGACGGGUGAGUAAUGUCUGGGAAACUGCCUGAUGGAGGGGGAUAACUACUGGAAACGGUGGCUAAUACCGCAUAACGUCGCAAGACCAAAGAGGGGGACCUUCGGGCCUCUUGCCAUCAGAUGUGCCCAGAUGGGAUUAGCUUGUUGGUGAGGUAACGGCUCACCAAGGCGACGAUCCCUAGCUGGUCUGAGAGGAUGACCAGCCACACUGGAACUGAGACACGGUCCAGACUCCUACGGGAGGCAGCAGUGGGGAAUAUUGCACAAUGGGCGCAAGCCUGAUGCAGCCAUGCCGCGUGUAUGAAGAAGGCCUUCGGGUUGUAAAGUACUUUCAGCGGGGAGGAAGGUGUUGUGGUUAAUAACCGCAGCAAUUGACGUUACCCGCAGAAGAAGCACCGGCUAACUCCGUGCCAGCAGCCGCGGUAAUACGGAGGGUGCAAGCGUUAAUCGGAAUUACUGGGCGUAAAGCGCACGCAGGCGGUCUGUCAAGUCGGAUGUGAAAUCCCCGGGCUCAACCUGGGAACUGCAUUCGAAACUGGCAGGCUUGAGUCUUGUAGAGGGGGGUAGAAUUCCAGGUGUAGCGGUGAAAUGCGUAGAGAUCUGGAGGAAUACCGGUGGCGAAGGCGGCCCCCUGGACAAAGACUGACGCUCAGGUGCGAAAGCGUGGGGAGCAAACAGGAUUAGAUACCCUGGUAGUCCACGCCGUAAACGAUGUCUACUUGGAGGUUGUGCCCUUGAGGCGUGGCUUCCGGAGCUAACGCGUUAAGUAGACCGCCUGGGGAGUACGGCCGCAAGGUUAAAACUCAAAUGAAUUGACGGGGGCCCGCACAAGCGGUGGAGCAUGUGGUUUAAUUCGAUGCAACGCGAAGAACCUUACCUGGUCUUGACAUCCACGGAAGAAUUCAGAGAUGGAUUUGUGCCUUCGGGAACCGUGAGACAGGUGCUGCAUGGCUGUCGUCAGCUCGUGUUGUGAAAUGUUGGGUUAAGUCCCGCAACGAGCGCAACCCUUAUCCUUUGUUGCCAGCGGUCCGGCCGGGAACUCAAAGGAGACUGCCAGUGAUAAACUGGAGGAAGGUGGGGAUGACGUCAAGUCAUCAUGGCCCUUACGACCAGGGCUACACACGUGCUACAAUGGCGCAUACAAAGAGAAGCGACCUCGCGAGAGCAAGCGGACCUCAUAAAGUGCGUCGUAGUCCGGAUUGGAGUCUGCAACUCGACUCCAUGAAGUCGGAAUCGCUAGUAAUCGUGGAUCAGAAUGCCACGGUGAAUACGUUCCCGGGCCUUGUACACACCGCCCGUCACACCAUGGGAGUGGGUUGCAAAAGAAGUAGGUAGCUUAACCUUCGGGAGGGCGCUUACCACUUUGUGAUUCAUGACUGGGGUGAAGUCGUAACAAGGUAACCGUAGGGGAACCUGCGGUUGGAUCACCUCCUUACCUUAAAGAAGC
rnacentral:rRNA from 3 species